AUUGAACGCUAGCGGGAUGCUUUACACAUGCAAGUCGAACGAGUGGCGGACGGGUGAGUAAUAUAUCGGAACGUGCCCAGUAGCGGGGGAUAACUACUCGAAAGAGUGGCUAAUACCGCAUACUAUUGGAGCGGCCGAUCUCGGAUUAGCUAGUUGGGUGGGUAAAGGCUCACCAAGGCAACGAUCCGUAGCUGGUUUGAGAGGACGACCAGCCAGACGGGGACGGGGGAACGGCCAAGACACCGACGGGAGGCAGCAGGGGGGAAUUUUGGACGAAGGGGGAAACCCUGAACACGCCAUCCGGCGUGAAUGGGAAGGCCUGCGGGUUAUAAAGGACUGUUGGCAGAGAAGCAGUAUCUGCAGAAUAAGCACCGGCAAAAUACGUGCCAGCAGCCGCGGUAAUUC
rnacentral:rRNA from 1 species